GAGCCGGGCUGGGAGCUCGGCGGGACGGCUCAGCCCUCCCUCGGCCCGCCCGUGGGGGUCCCCCCGCUGCAUGGGCCGUGGCGGGGAUCCCCGCUAGGUGGGAGCCGCGCUCCGCCGCCGGCCCCGCGGGUGGGAGGGCUCCCCCGAGCCCCCUUCCACAGCUGGUCCUGCCGCACGUACUGGGAGGAAGGGGCGAGCGGUGACGGGGACCCUCCCGUGUCGCGGCGGGGGUGUUUGCUCCCACCCCGCACCGCCUGGCUGCCGCGGGUAGCUGGUACCAAGCAGCACGGAAAAGGUGUGCGGUGGACCUGCAAAAGUACAGCCAAGAUUGUCAGCCAGCCCCGCUCUGUGGGACAUCUGGAGUGACUGGAAAACACGAUAAAUGAAGGAGGGAAGGUGAGGAAGAGGAAAAUUGCAUGUGGGCACAUUUGGGGAAGAUCAUACCCCAUCCCUGCUUGUAUACAAAGACGUUACCUCCUGGCUGGCAAAAGUCAUUAGGAAACACAGGACCUGCCCCUG